AUUGAACGCUGGCGGCAUGCCUUACACAUGCAAGUCGAACGGCAGCACGGGAGCUUGCUCCUGGUGGCGAGUGGCGAACGGGUGAGUAAUACAUCGGAACGUACCCAGUAGUGGGGGAUAACGCACCGAAAGGUGCGCUAAUACCGCAUACGACCCACGGGUGAAAGCGGGGGACCGUAAGGCCUCGCGCUAUUGGAGCGGCCGAUGUCUGAUUAGCUAGGUGGCGGGGUAAAAGCCCACCAAAGCGACGAUCAGUAGCUGGUCUGAGAGGACGAUCAGCCACACUGGGACUGAGACACGGCCCAGACUCCUACGGGAGGCAGCAGUGGGGAAUUUUGGACAAUGGGGGCAACCCUGAUCCAGCAAUGCCGCGUGUGCGAAGAAGGCCUUCGGGUUGUAAAGCACUUUUGUCAGGGAAGAAAUCUUUCAGGCUAAUACCCUUGGAAGGAUGACGGUACCUGAAGAAUAAGCACCGGCUAACUACGUGCCAGCCGCCGCCGCAG
rnacentral:rRNA from 1 species